rnacentral:lncRNA from 1 species
UUUCAUUAUUAGUUGGGGUCGAGUUUUAAAGAAAGCUGGACAUAACUAAAUAUUACAUUGAAGACUACACUAUACUAUUAAAGGCAAACAAAAGAUGGUCAAAAUUGAUAAGUAACAGGUCAAUGAUACACAUAUAUACAAGAGGAUUUAGACAAGUACCAAAAUAUGGGACUGAAUUACUCAGAAGCAAAGAUAAAGCUAAACAACACAAACUUCAUAAACAAAUAUAAAGUUUAUCACAACUGAACAUUGAUCAAAUUGAAACGAAAAAUGAAAAGUUAAACUAGGGAAGAUGAACAAUUUGAGCUUAACAGAAUAAUUCAAAUUAGUCAAGGAACAUCUAUGACUUCAAUUGGUAUAGGGACCAUUCAGAACAAGUUAUCAAAACUUAAAACAAAUGGCACAUGAUUCUGGAUGGAAACAAAGCAACUAAUCAGAUGAGCAAAUAGAACAUUCAUGUAUUCACACAAACAAAGAAAAAUUAAAAGCAAUCGAAAGAAAAACAAAGGGAACUUAGCUUAAUAUUGCAACCCUAAAAAUGUUGGACCUUUCGUGUCUCAUGGUUUUCGACCAUUUCUGGGAAGGUCUUUGGCCUUUUGGGAAGCCAGAGCAAUCAUUCGAGAGGGUGGGAGGGUAUCAGGUGUAAGGUCGAUCAGUUUUAAAUGGGUCUGUGUUUCAGAUCAUUUUUCGAUCUGAGCAAUCAUUUGAGAGGGUGGGAGGGUAUCAGGUGUAAGGUCGUCAGUUUGGGAUGGGUCUGUGUUUCAGAUCAUUAUUCGAACUGAUUUUUGGCCAGGUUCCGGUUGUAUUCGAAGGCUGUUGGUUGUGGAUUUGUGGAGAGGAAGGUGAGGAGGUCACCUAGUAUCAUUUUCAAGGGAUUCCGGUGAGGUUGGAGGUUUGGUCAGUACUUCAAACUAAUAUUUGAAGCAAUAGGUAGGGGUUUGGAGGAAAUUGACCAUGGAUUCGUUAUGCGGAUGGGGUAAGGGACCUAGGUUGUUAUUUUGGAAGGUUUCCGGCGGUGGCGCCGUCGUGGACGACUGAAGCGGUGCCCAAGGAUUUCAAUAUAUGAAGAGAUCGGCUCACAAUUGAGUAUUGGUAUUUAGGGCAUCGGAAAGAGGAGGGCACGGUGAGUCAAGGGUGUAUUUUUGGGAGGCAUUGGAGCUCCGCCGUCGGCUGAGACGAUUUCCGGCCGACGGCUAUAGGGCGGUGUAUCAAUGGAGACGGAGGGUACGAGGAAGAGACUGUUUGUCUCUAGGGUUUAGUCUGAUUCAGAUCUUUUUAUGUAAUGAUCUCAUUGAACCCAGGCCGUUAGAUCAUUGUUGAUGAACGACUGAGAUUGAUAGCCCCAAAACGACGUCGUUUUGGGGCGUCUCUCAUAGCAUCUUGGGUCAGAGACGGGAGUCGGGCCGGUUCUUGGGUCUUUUUGGACGGGUAGGGUAUUUGGGCCACUCAGAUUUGGCCCAAUUGUGGCCAGCCUAAUCUAAAGGCUUUUAAUUCCUUCUUUCUUUCUUUUUUUCUUUUUUAUUUUAAAAAUAUCCUAAUUAUUUUAAAAAUCUUAUUAAACUAAAUACUAAAUUCAACUAGAUUAGACUAAUAAUCAUCUAAAC